rnacentral:rRNA from 1 species
GACGAACGCUGGCGGCGUGCUUAACACAUGCAAGUCGAACGAAGUGGCGAACGGGUGAGUAACGCGUAAUCAACCUGCCCUUCAGAGGGGGACAACAGUUGGAAACGACUGCUAAUACCGCAUACUGAAGAGGGGGAUUGCGUUGGAUUGGCUAGGUGGGGGGGUAACCGGCCACCAAGGCGAUGAUCAGAAGCCGGGCUGGGGGGGUGAACGGCCACAUUGGGACUGGGACACGGCCCAGACUCCUACGGGAGGGAGCAGUGGGGAAUCUUCCGCAAUGGACGGAAGUCUGACUGAGCAACGCCGCGGGAGUGAUGACGGGCUUCGGGCUGUAAAGCUCUGUUAAGCGGGACGCGGUACCCGAAUAGAAAGCCACGGCUAACUACGUGCCAGCAGCCGCGGUAAUAC